UACGAGGGGGGCGAGCGUUGUUCGGAAUUACUGGGCGUAAAGGGCGCGUAGGCGGUCUUGUAAGUCUUGUGUGAAAUCCCUCGGCUUAACUGAGGAACUGCACGGGAUACUGCGAGACCUGAGAUCGGGAGAGGGAAGCGGAAUUCCGGGUGUAGCGGUGAAAUGCGUAGAUAUCCGGAGGAACACCGGUGGCGAAGGCGGCUUCCUGGACCGACACUGACGCUGAGGCGCGAAAGCUAGGGGAGCAAACGGG
rnacentral:rRNA from 1 species